rnacentral:rRNA from 1 species
CCUACGGGAGGCAGCAGUGAGGAAUAUUGGUCAAUGGGCGCAAGCCUGACCCAGCAACGCCGCGUGAAGGAAGAAGGCUUUCGGGUUGUAAACUUCUUUUGUCAGGGAAGAGUAGAAGACGGUACCUGACGAAUAAGCCACGGCUAACUACGUGCCAGCAGCCGCGGUAAUACGUAGGUGGCAAGCGUUGUCCGGAUUUACUGGGUGUAAAGGGCGUGUAGCCGGGUUGACAAGUCAGAUGUGAAAUCCUGCGGCUUAACCGCAGAACUGCAUUUGAAACUGUUGAUCUUGAGUACUGGAGAGGCAGACGGAAUUCCUAGUGUAGCGGUGAAAUGCGUAGAUAUUAGGAUGAACACCAGUGGCGAAGGCGGUCUGCUGGACAGCAACUGACGGUGAGGCGCGAAAGCGUGGGGAGCAAACAGGAUUAGAUACCCCUGUAGUC